rnacentral:lncRNA from 1 species
GAACUUUCUUGUCACACAGGACUCCUGAUGCAAGCCUCCACUUUGACCACCCCGCUCCUAUGCGAUGAGUGACGUCCCCGUCAAUCUCUCCGUCCCCCUCAACCACUGACCCAAGAUAUCUGACACUGUCCCUCUUGGCGAUGACCUGUGAUCCAAUCAUCACAUCCCUGCCUACUUCGCUCGGCUCGGCGCUAAACUUGCACUCCAGGUAU